rnacentral:tmRNA from 2 species
GGGGGUGAACGGUUUCGACUCUGGACGUUGAUUCAGGGGAAGCGUGCAGGUGCAGGCGAGAGACCACCUCAAGCGUCAUCGCAACCUAAUAAGCGCCAAGGCUAGUAGCCAGCGCGAGUUCGCCCUCGCUGCCUAAGUAGCAGGGCAACUCUGUCGGCCCGGGGGCGUCUCCGCCCCGGCUCCCGGCAUCAGCUAGGAGACUCACCGUCGCGGUCGGCCGCGGAUCGCGACGGGACAACCCACAGCGGCUGGGCCCGUCACACCGGACUUGUCCGCGAGACCGGUGGGGUCGAGUAGAGGCACAGCGGACUGCGCACGGAGAAGUCCUGAUGAACCGGCAGAGGACCCGGGUUCGAUUCCCGGCACCUCCACUG